CUUAACCGUCAUUAACCUACUAAGCAGAGUUUAGAGUAUAAACUCAUCGGUUAAUUAUGGAAACUGGUUCACCGCUACGACGACGCGACGGCGGCCGAAACCUUAAUUUUCGGCGGCGUCGGCGGACUCCCGGACCGGGCCUAAAACUUGGCCCAACAAAUCUCAGCCCAAAUCUGAGAUUUGUUUCCAACUUGGGCUGGGUUUCACUUGAUUUGCAGGCUGAACUUUGGUGGACUUGGGCUUCAAUUGACUUGUUGGAAUUGGGCUGAAGAGCAGCUGAUUUCACGCGGCUGCUGGGCCUGUUGAUGGGCCUUCGGUGGAGACCGAAAUUUCGGUCGUUGAUGGGAGAAACUGAAGCAGCGAAGGAGUCGUUGAGGUUGGCGGUUGACUGGGACGGCAGCUCGUGGACGGUGCUGCUUCGCUUGGUGUUGCUGGCGACAAGAAGACUUGAAGAUCGGUGGACUUGGACGCGCGGAAAGGGACGCUCGCUUGUUGACCAAACCGAAUGAAGACUUCGACGUGGUAGCUUCAGUCGUGCGGUGUCGCUUGAAGACUUCAGCUGAAGAUUUACUGAAGAAGACACGAGCGUGGAGCUGAAGACACGAGGGGCAAGAUGGAAGAGCUUCGGUGGGUGAGCUGUACGAAGACACGGGCAGGGCAGCUUCGGUCAACAAAGCAGGAACUCAGCUGACUUCGGUGGGCUUUGGAGAUGGCAGUGCGGCAAGACCGAAACUGUUUCGGUGGAGAAGCUGGUGGGGGCUUCUUCAGACGGUGGUAGCUCGACAAAAUUGAAGACGCGUGGGCCCAGAUCUUCGGUGGUGUUGAUCUGUAGCAACUGGAGACAUGGGCGCUGAAUUGAAGAAAGCUGAGUCGAUCUUCUUUGCUGGCGGUUGAUCGGGCCUUGAGACGACACAGGAUGCGGCAGCUAGCUCAAAGGGGAUGAAGGAAGGAGCUUCGAAUGAGAAAAUCGAAAGAAAGCAGAGGCAGAAGACUUCAGCUGAGCUGCAUGCGGUGGGGAAAUCGGGGUAAGCUUCAAGGGAAUGAUGAAAGUGACGUGAAGCAGC
rnacentral:lncRNA from 1 species